rnacentral:rRNA from 1 species
AUUAGCUAGUUGGAGAGGUAAGAGCUCACCAAGGCUUCGAUCGGUAGCCGGUCUGAGAGGACGGACGGCCACACUGGGACUGAGACACGGCCCAGACUCCUACGGGAGGCAGCAGUGGGGAAUUUUGGGCAAUGGGCGGAAGCCUGACCCAGCAACGCCGCGUGGAGGACGAAGGUUUUCGGAUCGUAAACUCCUGUCCGGAGGGACGAAGCAAGUGACGGUACCUCUGGAGGAAGCCCCGGCUAACUCCGUGCCAGCAGCCGCGGUAAUACGGGGGGGGCAAGCGUUGUUCGGAAUUACUGGGCGUAAAGGGCGCGUAGGCGGCCUCGGAAGUCAUGGGUGAAAGCCCCGAGCUCAACUCGGGAACGGCCUGUGAAACCACGGGGCUGGAGUGCUGGAGAGGGAAGCGGAAUUCCCAGUGUAGCGGUGAAAUGCGUAGAUAUUGGGAGGAACACCGGUGGCGUAGGCGGCUUCCUGGACAGACACUGACGCUGAGGCGCGAAAGCCAGGGGAGCGAACGGGAUUAGAUACCCCGGUAGUCCUGGCUGU